AUUGAACGCUGGCGGCAGGCCUAACACAUGCAAGUCGAGCGGAUGAGAGGAGCUUGCUCCUUGAUUUAGCGGCGGACGGGUGAGUAAUGCCUAGGAAUCUGCCUGGUAGUGGGGGAUAACGUCCGGAAACGGGCGCUAAUACCGCAUACGUCCUACGGGAGAAAGCAGGGGACCUUCGGGCCUUGCGCUAUCAGAUGAGCCUAGGUCGGAUUAGCUAGUUGGUGAGGUAAUGGCUCACCAAGGCGACGAUCCGUAACUGGUCUGAGAGGAUGAUCAGUCAAGCUGGAACUGAGACACGGUCCAGACUCCUACGGGAGGCAGCAGUGGGGAAUAUUGGACAAUGGGCGAAAGCCUGAUCCAGCCAUGCCGCGUGUGAAGAAGGUCUUCGGAUUGUAAAGCACUUUAAGUUGGGAGGAAGGGCAGUAAGCUAAUACCUUGCUGUUUUGACGUUACCGACAGAAUAAGCACCGGCUAACUUCGUGCCAGCCGCCGCGGUAAGAC
rnacentral:rRNA from 1 species